CUUAAUCUAAAAGGCAGAAGAACCUCCAGCUACUGGGUAUCUGUCUUAGUCAGCAUCUUUCUCCUUGCCUCAAAAUCCUUUAGAUGCAAAGCAGCAUCAGCAUCAUCACCUCAGGUGUGAUUUGAGCUGAGUGGCACAUCACUCUCUUGUAAGCCUGCGAUGCAACAACAGAGACACGCCUGGAUCUGUCUGUGCACUGAAGGAUGAUCUGGGGAGUAACUAGCAGCGUGU